GAAGGGGGGACGGAGAAGGCUAUGUUGGCCGGGCGACGGUUGUCCCGGUUUAAGCGUGUAGGCUGGUUUUCCAGGCAAAUCCGGAAAAUCAAGGCUGAGGCGUGAUGACGAGGCACUACGGUGCUGAAGCAACAAAUGCCCUGCUUCCAGGAAAAGCCUCUAAGCAUCAGGUAACAUCAAAUCGUACCCCAAACCGACACAGGUGGUCAGGUAGAGAAUACCAAGGCGCUUGAGAGAACUCGGGUGAAGGAACUAGGCAAAAUGGUGCCGUAACUUCGGGAGAAGGCACGCUGAUAUGUAGGUGAAGUCCCUUGCGGAUGGAGCUGAAAUCAGUCGAAGAUACCAGCUGGCUGCAACUGUUUAUUAAAAACACAGCACUGUGCAAACACGAAAGUGGACGUAUACGGUGUGACGCCUGCCCGGUGCCGGAAGGUUAAUUGAUGGGGUCAGCGCAAGCGAAGCUCUUGAUCGAAGCCCCGGUAAACGGCGGCCGUAACUAUAACGGUCCUAAGGUAGCGAAAUUCCUUGUCGGGUAAGUUCCGACCUGCACGAAUGGCGUAAUGAUGGCCAGGCUGUCUCCACCCGAGACUCAGUGAAAUUGAACUCGCUGUGAAGAUGCAGUGUACCCGCGGCAAGACGGAAAGACCCCGUGAACCUUUACUAUAGCUUGACACUGAACAUUGAGCCUUGAUGUGUAGGAUAGGUGGGAGGCUUUGAAGUGUGGACGCCAGUCUGCAUGGAGCCGGCCUUGAAAUACCACCCUUUAAUGUUUAAUGUUCUAACGUGGACCCGUGAUCCGGGUUGCGGACAGUGUCUGGUGGGUAGUUUGACUGGGGCGGUCUCCUCCUAAAGAGUAACGGAGGAGCACGAAGGUUGGCUAAUCCUGGUCGGACAUCAGGAGGUUAGUGCAAUGGCAUAAGCCAGCUUGACUGCGAGCGUGACGGCGCGAGCAGGUGCGAAAGCAGGUCAUAGUGAUCCGGUGGUUCUGAAUGGAAGGGCCAUCGCUCAACGGAUAAAAGGUACUCCGGGGAUAACAGGCUGAUACCGCCCAAGAGUUCAUAUCGACGGCGGUGUUUGGCACCUCGAUGUCGGCUCAUCACAUCCUGGGGCUGAAGUAGGUCCCAAGGGUAUGGCUGUUCGCCAUUUAAAGUGGUACGCGAGCUGGGUUUAGAACGUCGUGAGACAGUUCGGUCCCUAUCUGCCGUGGGCGCUGGAGAACUGAGGGGGGCUGCUCCUAGUACGAGAGGACCGGAGUGGACGCAUCACUGGUGUUCGGGUUGUCAUGCCAAUGGCACUGCCCGGUAGCUAAAUGCGGAAGAGAUAAGUGCUGAAAGCAUCUAAGCACGAAACUUGCCCCGAGAUGAGUUCUCCCUGACCCUUUAAGGGUCCUGAAGGAACGUUGAAGACGACGACGUUGAUAGGCCGGGUGUGUAAGCGCAGCGAUGCGUUGAGCUAACCGGUACUAAUGAACCGUGAGG
rnacentral:rRNA from 1 species